UACGUAGGGGGGCUAGCGUUGUCCGGAAUCAUUGGGCGUAAAGAGCGUGUAGGCGGCCCGGUAAGUCCGCUGUGAAAGUCGGGGGCUCAACCCUCGAAAGCCGGUGGAUACUGUCGGGCUAGAGUGCGGAAGAGGCGAGUGGAAUUCCUGGUGUAGCGGUGAAAUGCGCAGAUAUCAGGAGGAACACCGAUUGCGAAGGCAGCUCGCGGGAC
rnacentral:rRNA from 1 species